rnacentral:tRNA from 1 species
GGAUAUAGCUCAGUGGUGGAGCGCAUGCUUAGCAUGCAUGAGGUUCUGGGUUCAAUCCCCAGUACGUCCA